rnacentral:rRNA from 1 species
AUGCCACUCGGUGCCACCGAUUUCGCAACAGGAAAAACAGUCUGCCACAUAUUCUAUAUUUCUUCUGAUCCAGCUCCACUCAAUGAAUCUUGUCCUCUACAAGCAUCACAGUUUUAUUCCCUGCUUUGUACUGAAUCUCAAGGACCAAACCUAUUCGACGGAUUCCAGGAGAAACCUUCUUGGAAAUUGAUGUCAAAGGGGGAGAGAGAGAUCACAUCAAAGCUUGUAGGAGAGAGAGAUCACAUCAAGGGAGAGAAACAGUCUCAAGGACCAAACCUACAAGAGAGAUCUCAAGGGGGGAGAGAAUACUCAAGGAUCCCAUAUAUUAAGGGGGAGAAAGAAAUCUCCAAGGGGGAGAGAAUACUCAAGGAUCCCAGAUGCUUGAUGUUCAAGAGGAGAGAUGCCACAUGUCUUUUUUGGGGGAAAGACAUGUUCAUAUGA